UACGUAGGGUGCGAGCGUUGUCCGGAAUUAUUGGGCGUAAAGAGCUCGUAGGCGGUUUGUCGCGUCGGCCGUGAAAACUUCCAGCUUAACUGGGGGCUUGCGGUCGAUACGGGCAGACUUGAGUUCGGCAGGGGAGACUGGAAUUCCUGGUGUAGCGGUGAAAUGCGCAGAUAUCAGGAGGAACACCGGUGGCGAAGGCGGGUCUCUGGGCCGAUACUGACGCUGAGGAGCGAAAGCGUGGGGAGCGAACAGG
rnacentral:rRNA from 1 species